UGCGUAGUGUCUAAGAACAGCCCUACCCAUAUACCACAGGUUGUCCACAUACAGGACGAACUGGUCCCAGGAGAGUGUAUGCCUGGUCCAAGGACUCCUUACUAGGCAGCCCACCGAGUCUCGGAAUGUGGUUCUCCUCAGAGAGAAAGUGACAAUGUCAUCAAAGUCCUCAAGCGUUCAGGAAGCCAAGAUGGUUCAGCUCAAAAAGAGGCAGAAGGACGAGGAGCUGCAGCAGAAUAGCCAUUGGAAGCCCAUGGCAAAUAACCGUGAAACUUGGCAUCAAACUAAAUGAGAAUGUGUAUAGAAGGAAGCAAAGAGCCAAGGACAUGAACUGGUGGUGGUUGUCCUUUUCACAUUUUUAUUCCCUCUGAAUCCCCUAGGUUCUUCUUUAAAAAUGUACUUCCCCCUGCACCUCCCCACAUCCCACCAUUUACUCCUCCUUUAUUAUUUCCUUUUCUCCCCCUCUGCCUUCUUAUUUCCUUUUCUACUGUACUUGCGACAUCAUCCAACAUGUCUGGGAAGUUCAGUCCAAAUCACUGUAACACAAACACAGCAGUUAACUUUGGUUCUAAGACACGUAUCAGUUCAUGUAUCAGAAUUCAACACUUAUUAUUAUAACUUCUGAGACAGCUGUGACUGAUAUGGCAUAGGAAUAAUACCCAGGGAGGUGGAAACAGAUCAUUUUCAGAGGCAAAGCUAUACUGUUCUGUCAUAUCUAUUCUAGUUCCGAAGUCAUGUUUAAUAAGGUUAUGAGCCUGGCAUAUCUAAAUAACCUGAGAUAUACAACAAAUCUGGAACAGCAGGUGCAUGUUGACAUGACUCCAUAGCAACCUCUAUUCCAAUUUUAUUGGUAGCUAAAGGGAAAGUUAAAGGGGGCAUCUAGUCAGUUGUACAACUGAAUGCAUUCAACUGAAAUGUGUCUUCUGCAUUUAACCCAACCUCUGAAUCAGAGAGGUGUGGAGGGGCUGCCUUAAUCGAGAUCCACGUCUUCGAAGCCCGGGGAAGAGUGCCUUGCUCAGGGGCAGAAUUACAGAUUUUUACCUUGUCAACCUGGUUCUAUUCAGAUUCUAAGGCUUGGUUCAACACUCACCAUCAGUCAGACUCAUUCCAUAUCUGCCAGUCUGAAUCCUCCUCUGAUGUCUGUUUGUCUCUUCCUCCUCUUCGCAUCAUCUCUAUCAUUCUCUUCUCUGUCAGUUUCAUUUUCACUUCCCUCUCCUUUCCUUUCCUCUCUUUUCCUGCUCCUUUUUAAUUUCCUUAGUUUAAGCGCUCUAUUUUUUUUCCUCCUGCUUUUGUACCCUUUUCUCAGCUUCAGCCAACCUUUUCUCAGCUUCAGCCAACUUUUUCGUUAUCCUUCUCUUUCUCCAUGCACUUCUUCCCAUCUUGUUCUGCUUCACUCAAACUUUUCUUCUCCUUUUCUUUUAAUUUCGCCUUCUCCAGGUUCUUUAUUCUCUCCUUUUCUGCUUCAAACCUAAGUUUCUCAUCCAGUUGUUCCUUAAUCUCAUUCUCAAGGAUCUUCAAUAUCUCCUUCUCUUUUUUUCUUCCAAUUUACAUUUCUCCUCUUCUGUUUAUUUCCUCUCAUUCUCCAGGUUCUUAAUCCUCUCUUUCUUUUUUCUUCCUCCAACCUGAGUUUUUCCUCCUUUUCUUUUCCUUCUCCAGGAAUAUCAUCCUUUCUAUCUUUGUCAAAAGUCUCCGCCAAUCUUAAAUCCCUCAGCCUGUUUUAUCUUAAUUUCAUCUAGAUAUUUAUGACUUUCCUUCAUCUGUUCUAUCAAUUUGUUCUCUUCCUGUUUUUCUCUUCCUUGAUAUCUACUUUCUGUCAAUUGCUCCUCACUGUUAUAUCCCUUCUCACCUGCGCUCUGCAUCUCUGUAAAUUUUUUCUCCACCUCUUUUUCCACAGUUUCAUAUAUUCUGACCCUGUGGUUCUCCCCCUCCUCAUCUAUUGACUUCAUCAUAAACAUCUCCUGCUCCAUUUUCUGGAUUAUACAGUGCCUUCGGAAAAUAUUCAGACCCCUUUACUUUUUCAGCAUUUCUUUUACG